ACAUGCAAGUCGAGCGGACAGAUGGGAGCUUGCUCCCUGAUGUUAGCGGCGGACGGGUGAGUAACACGUGGGUAACCUGCCUGUAAGACUGGGAUAACUCCGGGAAACCGGGGCUAAUACCGGAUGUUGUUUGAACCGCAUGGUUCAAACAUAAAAGGUGGCUUCGGCUACCACUUACAGAUGGACCCGCGGCGCAUUAGCUAGUUGGUGAGGUAAUGGCUCACCAAGGCACGAUGCGUAGCCGACCUGAGAGGGUGAUCGGCCACACUGGGACUGAGACACGGCCCAGACUCCUACGGGAGGCAGCAGUAGGGAAUCUUCCGCAAUGGACGAAAGUCUGACGGAGCAACGCCGCGUGAGUGAUGAAGGUUUUCGGAUCGUAAAGCUCUGUUGUUAGGGAAGAACAAGUACCGUUCGAAUAGGGCGGUACCUUGACGGUACCUAACCAGAAAGCCACGGCUAACUACGUGCCAGCAGCCGCGGUAAUACGUAGGUGGCAAGCGUUGUCCGGAAUUAUUGGGCGUAAAGGGCUCGCAGGCGGUUUCUUAAGUCUGAUGUGAAAGCCCCCGGCUCAACCGGGGAGGGUCAUUGGAAACUGGGGAACUUGAGUGCAGAAGAGGAGAGUGGAAUUCCACGUGUAGCGGUGAAAUGCGUAGAGAUGUGGAGGAACACCAGUGGCGAAGGCGACUCUCUGGUCUGUAACUGACGCUGAGGAGCGAAAGCGUGGGGAGCGAACAGGAUUAGAUACCCUGGUAGUCCACGCCGUAAACGAUGAGUGCUAAGUGUUAGGGGGUUUCCGCCCCUUAGUGCUGCAGCUAACGCAUUAAGCACUCCGCCUGGGGAGUACGGUCGCAAGACUGAAACUCAAAGGAAUUGACGGGGGCCCGCACAAGCGGUGGAGCAUGUGGUUUAUUCGAAGCAACGCGAAGAACCUUACCAGGUCUUGACAUCCUCUGACAAUCCUAGAGAUAGGACGUCCCCUUCGGGGGCAGAGUGACAGGUGGUGCAUGGUUGUCGUCAGCUCGUGUCGUGAGAUGUUGGGUUAAGUCCCGCAACGAGCGCAACCCUUGAUCUUAGUUGCCAGCAUUCAGUUGGGCACUCUAAGGUGACUGCCGGUGACAAACCGGAGGAAGGUGGGGAUGACGUCAAAUCAUCAUGCCCCUUAUGACCUGGGCUACACACGUGCUACAAUGGACAGAACAAAGGGCAGCGAAACCGCGAGGUUAAGCCAAUCCCACAAAUCUGUUCUCAGUUCGGAUCGCAGUCUGCAACUCGACUGCGUGAAGCUGGAAUCGCUAGUAAUCGCGGAUCAGCAUGCCGCGGUGAAUACGUUCCCGGGCCUUGUACACACCGCCCGUCACACCACGAGAGUUUGUAACACCCGAAGUCGGUGAGGUAACCUUUAGGAGCCAGC
rnacentral:rRNA from 1 species